CCCGGUGAAGUUUAAACGGCCGCAGUUAGGAGCUGUGCUAAGGUAGCGUAGUAAGUUGUCCUUUAAAUGGGGAAAGGAAUGAAUGGUUUGACGUGAGAAUACCUGUCUCUGGUGGAACUUAAAAAAUUUUCUUCCUGGUGAAAAGCCUAGGAUGUAAGUAAAAGACGAGAAGACCCUUUCGAGCUUGAUUAAGCAAAAAAAUUCAUUUUAAGUGGAAGUUUGGUUGGGGCAACCUAGGAGCAAAAGGAGACUCCUUAAGGCAGUGUAGAUCCAAAAAUUUUGAAAACAGAAAAAGCUACCGUAGGGAUAACAGCGUAUCUUUUC
rnacentral:rRNA from 1 species